ACACUCAUGAUUCGGGUUUCGGGACAAUGAAACCGUGUCACUAUCAGGUUCGUUGUCGACGAAAUUUGCAAAAUGAGCGA
rfam:Operophtera brumata OBRT01_Sc01637, whole genome shotgun sequence.